UUAGAUGCCGUCAGGGAAAGAU
rnacentral:miRNA from 1 species